rnacentral:lncRNA from 1 species
GCAGGAGGUAAGGACCGGAGCCCCGCCUUGCCCCGCUCCGGGCGGCCGCUCCCCGGUUUCCUGCAAGACGGCAGUUCCCAUGGGGGCUGCAGGUCCCGACCCGGCCCUGGCCGCAGACUGCGGGUGGGUCCCGGCAAUGACGUGUAGAGACCACGGUCGGGGCUCCGCAGGUGCUCGUUGUUCCUGGAUUGGACGUCGUUUCUCGUCUUUACAGUUGCUCUGGGGUUUUGAGCUUGGGAUCGCAGGGGAUCUGUCGGUUGGUGGAAACUUAAACCGGAUAUAGAGGCCGUCACGAAGAUUGUUGAGAGAGACACAGAAUAACGCUGCCUGAAAAAGUGAGUAGAGAUGGGCAUAGGGACCUGAGGGCUGCAGGUGCUGGGUCCAGCAGUUCCUGAAGCCUUGCCUCAUUGCUCCUUCUGCCUAAUGCACUUCAGCUCAUAAGGCAGAAUGUUUUUCCUUCAAGUGAUACAAACCAGAAACCAGUGUAAGAGCAAAGAAGGAAGUUUUAUGGCAUGUCGGAUGGCUUCAGGCACGGCUAGAUCCAGCAGUCUGGAAGUAUCAUUACGGAUCUCUCUCUCUCCAUGUCUCAGCUCAUCUGAGAGCCGUCCCUGCUCUUCGGUGAGCUCUCUCUGAGCAGUGGCGUGUGGAAACUCUGGGUUAACGUUCCAGCAGCCCUUGAAGGAAAACCGUCUUCUUCCCCAGUCAUUGCAGGAAACGUCGUGAGGCCUGUUGUCUUUGGCCUGCUGCGGAAGUGGAGCGGAGGCAGGCACUCCUCAGAGGACGUGAGCCGGAGCUGGGGCGGGGAGGACCCCCAAAAGGGAAUAGCCAGGAUUCUGAGAGCCCGGGAGGUGGGAGAUAAGCGAAAAGUGCCCUCCUUUCUCACAUCCUGCUGGUCCUCUGCCGGGGCCUCCAGGGCUCCCUGUGAUAGUUGUGUCUGGCCCUUGGCGGAAACGGGACUCCUUUUCUUGCCUUUAUUGCUGUGGCAUUCAUACAGUUAACCGUUUUAUUUUUAUUAUUAUUAUUUUUUUAAUGUUUAUUUUUGAGAGAGGCAGAGACAGAAUGCGAGUGGGUCAGGGGCAGAGAGAGGGAGACACGGAAUCGGAAGCAGGCUCCGGGCCCUGAGCUGUCAGCACAGAGCCCGACGUGGGGCUCGAACCCACGAACCGUGAGAUCGUGACCUGAGCCGAAGUCGGAGGCUCAACCGACCGAGCCCCCCAGGUGCCCCACAUACAGUUAACCAUUUUAAACUGAAUUAUUUUGGUGGCAUCGAGUGCGUUCACGAAGUUGGGCAACCACUCCCUCUGUCUAGUUGCAGACAGAUUUCAUCGCCUCCAGAAGAAGCUCCGUUCCGUCCCCAUCAGCUGUCACCCCCCCUUCCCAGCCCCCGGCCGCCACGAGCCCCCUUCCUGUCCGUGGAUGAGCACGUUGUGGAUAUUUCACAUAAACUGAGUUUCACCCCGU